ACAGUUAUGCCAACAGUAUAGGUAAACAUUGUUCGUCUUGAAAGAGCGAACAGAUGGAUUUCCGGAUGGCGCCGUGGCCGCCGGCGAUUUCCCGUACCGCCGCCGCAAUAUUUUCCGCGCGAACCUCCCUCAAAUUCACGCGAACUAUAGCUCUCCCCGGCCCUGCCCACGCCUCCGCCGCAGCUCACGGGGCAGCUCUUCCUGCAGCGCCAACCACAGCCGUGACACGACGAAGACGCUCGGCGACGGUCUGCUGCUGCUGCUUACGAGGCGAGUGCUGGCUCGGCUCCACGCCAAUCUGUAAUGCGAAGUUGGAGGCCGCCGGAAGCACGGACAGAGGAGGCCUAUGUCACGGGCCAAGGCUGCAUUUCGGAGCUCGAAAGCUGAAACGAAAUCUCCGAGAUCCAAAUUGGGUACUGCUCCACCGAUGAGCGGUUCCUCGCGGCGGGGCUGGAGGCGAUGCAGAGAUGGCUGUAGCGGCUGGGGCGCGCCGCGGGAGGGGAGAGGUCUCGUUGGCCGCCCUAACGACAGAAGGCGCCGCCGCCCGCCGGGUGGGAUGCGCCCAGGCGGCUACAGCGAGCAGUUCUGGACUUCAGGAGGACAAGGAGAAACAGUAGCCUAUGAAAGCCUCAGCUGGUUAUCAGUUUCCCCUUUUUUGUUGUGGAGGAAGAAGAUGAGAGGAAGAAGAAGGACUCAGGAAGAGCACACGAAGUGGAGCUGCUUAAGACUCUGAGCUGCAGCUGCUCUCCUCUUUAUAGACACACCGAUCAAAGGUGUUUACUGGCUUCCCCCGGAGAAAGUGACGCGAAGAAGAGGAAGAACAUCUCCUUCAUUUUAAGCGAAAUGCAGAGAUGAAACUGGAACAAGCAGCAAAAGAAAAGAAGAGACAUAGGAGCGCGCAAGCUGCUGGCCCUUGUCUUACGCGUAGAUCUGCUUGAGUUACCACAAUGCUCUGGAAGAAUGCGCAAGCAGAACGGCUCCGUACCUGCUCGACUCCUCUGGUUGUAGUGGACGAGCUCCUCCCCUCAAAGCCGCCAGCCAUUGCAGCC